UCCCAAAGGCCCCACCUGUUCAUUCUACCC
rnacentral:piRNA from 1 species